GCCCUUCAAAGUCAGAUGAUUGAUUGAAUGCGUGCGAAACUAAAAAGCGCGGGAAAGAUUUUGUUUACUUUCGAGCGUGCAAAAAUUGUUGUGGUUCAAGCAAUUUUCACUAAAAUUAUGGAAAAGAAAGACAAAGGGUUUAUUGGUGUUGUAAAAAGGAAGAAAAAUGCUAACCUGCUAGCCGGUCUGUUGUGGAUUAUAACAAAUUUUGUGCCGACUUGUACCAAAAACUAACUAUGUGUCAUUAAAGUGCAAAGUGUAUAUAAACUAUUUUUUGGAGUCUUCAUGGAAAAUGUAUAUACCCUCACCAAAAUUUAAGCCAAGAUAUGAAGCAUUAAAAUAUGGCAUAAGUCCUCUACAUGGUUGGACUCGAUUUUUUGAAAUCGCUCUUAAAAUUGCAUACAGACUGAAACUUAAAAAAUGGCAAGUGAGAGAUGAAAAUGGAAAAAAAGAAAUGGCGAAACAAAAAAGAUGAUUUAAAAGCAGAUGUGGAAUGCUAUCGCAUUACAUGAUGAUAAGCCUAAGCAGAAUGACAAUGGAAAUACCAACGACGGCAAUACAGCAAGGUGGGCGUUUGCACAACCUGAGCUACUAGCUGAAAUCUUAGAUCUUGAUGAAUUUCUCAUUGCAUAUCUUAACAAUAUUUUAAUUGCUAUUUCCCGCCACCUACCAAAUGAU